GGGCCAGUGGCGCAAUGGAUAACGCGUUGAUAACGCGUCUGACUACGGAUCAGAAGAGUCUAGGUUCGACUCCUGGCUGGCUCG
rnacentral:tRNA from 1 species